AACGAACGCUGGCGGCAGGCUUAACACAUGCAAGUCGAGCGCCCCGCAAGGGGAGCGGCAGACGGGUGAGUAACGCGUGGGAAUCUACCCUGAUCUGCGGAAUAGCUCCGGGAAACUGGAAUUAAUACCGCAUGUGCCCUGAGGGGCAAAGAUUUAUCGGUUCAGGAGGAGCCCGCGUCCGAUUAGCUCGUUGGUGGGGUAAUGGCCUACCAAGGCGACGAUCGGUAGCUGGUCGAAGAGUAUGAUCAGCCACAUUGGGACUGAGACACGGCCCAAACCCCUACGGGAGGCAGCAGUGGGGAAUAUUGGACAAUGGGCGCAAGCCUGAUCCAGCCAUGCCGCGUGAGUGAUGAAGGCCCUAGGGUUGUAAAGCUCUUUCAGUGGGGACGAUAAUGACGGUACCCACAGAAGAAGCCCCGGCUAACUUCGUGCCAGCCGCCGCGGUAA
rnacentral:rRNA from 1 species